GUUUGAUCAUGGCUCAGAUUGAACGCUGGCGGGAUGCUUUACACAUGCAAGUCGAACAGCGGCACGGACUUCGGUCUGGUGACGAGUGGCGAACGGGUGAGCAAUGUAUCGGAACGUGCUAGUAGCGGUGGAUAACUACGCGAAAGCGUAGCUAAUACCGCAUACGCCCAUCGGGGAAAGCGGGGGACCUUCGGGCCUCGCACUAUUAGAGCGGCCCGACUCGGAUUGGCUAGUUGGUGGGGUAACGGCUCACCAAGGCGACGAUCCGUAGCUGGUUUGAAGGACGACAGCCACACUGGGACUGAGACACGGCCCAGACUCCUACAGGAGGCAGCAGUGGGGAAUUUUGGACAAUGGGGGAAACCCUGAUCCAGCCAUCCCGCGUGUGCGAUGAAGGCCUUCGGGUUGUAAAGCACUUUUGGCAGGAAAGAAACGGCCUGGGGUAAUACCCCGUACAGGCUGAUACCUGCAGAAUAAGCACCGGCUAACUACGUGCCAGCAGCCGCGGUAAUACGUAGGGUGCAAGCGUUAAUCGGAAUUACUGGGCGUAAAGCGUGCGCGGGCGGUUCCGGAAAGAAAGAUGUGAAAUCCCAGAGCUUAACUUUGGAACUGCAUUUUUAACUACCGAGCUAGAGUGUGUCAGAGGGAGGUGGAAUUCCGCGUGUAGCAGUGAAAUGCAUAGAUAUGCGGAGAGGAACACGAUGGCGGCGGCCUCUGGUUCUUCCACCGGCAACUGUGCAAAGUGGAACCAGCAAGUUGAGCUGCCCUGCCGGUGGAGAAACUCUGCCUGGCAGAUAUCAGCAACCAUCUCUUCGGAACCUGAACACCAGUAGCGCAUAUGUGUGCGUGAAGUUGGCCGCCUGGAAAUGGUCACGGUCGCUCAAGGAAUAUGACGGGGACCACACAAGCAGGGUCGGAUGAUGUGGAUUCAAUUCGAUGCAACACCCGAAAAACCUUACCUACCUGACAUAUCUGGAAUCCCGAAGAGAUCUGGGAGUGCUCGCAAGAGAACCGGAACACAGGUGCUGCAUGGCUGUCGUCAGCUCGUGUCGUAGAGAUGUUGAUUCAAGUCCGCAACCCGAGCGCAGCCUUGUCGUGUAGUUGCUACGAAGGGCACUCUAUUGAGACUGCCGGUGACAAACCGGAGGAAGGUGGGGAUGACGUCAAGUCUCCAUGGCCCAUAUGGGUAGGGCUUGCACGUCAUACAAUGGUCGGGACAGAGGGUCGCCAGCCCGCGAGGGAGCCAAUCCCAGAAACCCGAUCGUAGUCCGGAUCGCAGUCUGCAACUCGACUGCGUGAAGUCGAAUCUUUAAUAAUCGCGGAUCAGCAUGUCGCGGUGAAUACGUUCCCGGGUCUUGUACACACCGCCCGUCACACCAUGGGAGUGGGUUUUACCAGAAGUAGUUAGCCUAACCGUAAGGAGGCGAUUACCACGGUAGGAUUCAUGACUGGGGUAAGUCAGCAACAAGGUAG
rnacentral:rRNA from 1 species